rnacentral:rRNA from 1 species
UACAGAGGUCUCAAGCGUUGUUCGGAUUCAUUGGGCGUAAAAGGUGCGUAGGCGGCGCGGUAAGUCGGGUGUGAAAUCUCGGAGCUUAACUCCGAAACUGCAUUCGAUACUGCCGUGCUUGAGGACUGGAGAGGAGACUGGAAUUUACGGUGUAGCGGUGAAAUGCGUAGAUAUCGUAAGGAAGACCAGUGGCGAAGGCGGGUCUCUGGACAGUUCCUGACGCUGAGGCACGAAGGUCAGGGGAGCAAACGGG